rnacentral:tRNA from 1 species
GCGGAUGUGGCGGAACGGCAGACGCGCUAGAUUCAGGUUCUAGUGGUAGAAAUACCGUGUGGGUUCAAGUCCCUUCAUCCGCA